rnacentral:ribozyme from 15 species
AAGAUGAAAGAAGAAAUGGAGAAACAGGGCCUCGCUGCUCUCAAGGAUUGAGCACAUUCCGGAGUGUGCCUUUAUUGUUAAUCCUUUCCAUAGCUCUCUUUCUUUCUUUCUCUCUUUCUUUUUCUUUUUCUUUUUCUGU